CGGCCGCGCCCGGGGCCCCCGGCCCGCCCCGCACCGGCACGCGGGUCACGCAGGUUUAAGCUGCCUUAAAGGAGAAUUAAAAAUAGUGACUCCAAAGAACAAAAUAACACAGAAGAGAGAAAACAGCACUCAAAAAACCCCCAGAAAGGGGUAGCAGGUUGUUUGACACACAUGGGCACAGAAGAUUAUGAACAGUGAAGACAAUGAAGAGUGGGACAUCCAUCAAAGAGUAACAGCCUCUUAUAAGGGUUUUGCCUGACUCAUCAUCAGUAAGAUUCUACUGUCAGUUUUCACCUGCAAAUCCAAAGGAAGAUCUUACUCUUGCAGCUGGAAUUUCAUCACCAAUGCUGUUGGUGCUGUGAUGCAGAGUGAAGUCAAGCUCUCUGUCUUAUAGCUCAGUGAUGUCACCCCGUACUAUGAUUUUGCUAAUAACAGUGAGAUCAUUUGGGGUUUAUCCUCCGCGUAACGUCGCUUUUCUCGGCGCACAGACAUCGCGUUUCGUUAAUCCUUUGCUUCCUGCGUACCCCAUUUCUGAUCCCAGCCCUCAUUUAUUCCUGCUUCCCGUUGGUUGAAGGUGACUCGUGCGAGCUCAUGAGGCUCCUGUAAAGGCCACACUCAGCUAGGAUGUUACACCACCACUGCCGGAGGAACCCUGAGCUGCAGGAAGAGUUGCAGAUCCAGGCUGCCGUGGCCGCCGGCGAUGUUCACACCGUGCGCAAGAUGCUGGAGCAGGGAUAUUCCCCCAACGGUCGGGAUGCCAACGGCUGGACCUUGCUUCAUUUCUCUGCGGCAAGAGGCAAGGAGAGAUGUGUCCGUGUUUUUCUGGAGCAUGGAGCCGAUCCCACGGUUAAGGACUUAAUUGGAGGCUUCACGGCCCUGCAUUACGCAGCCAUGCACGGCCGGGCGAGGAUCGCGCGCCUGAUGCUGGAAUCUGACUACAGAAGUGACAUUAUUAACGCCAAGAGCAACGACGGCUGGACUCCCCUGCACGUCGCUGCUCACUACGGCAGAGACUCCUUUGUCAGGCUCCUCCUGGAGUUCAAGGCUGAGGUUGAUCCGCUCAGUGAUAAAGGUACUACACCACUCCAGCUGGCCAUUAUCCGGGAGAGGUCAAGCUGUGUGAGAAUCCUCCUGGACCACAAUGCCAACAUCGACAUUCAGAAUGGUUUCCUGUUACGAUACGCUGUGAUCAAAAGCAAUCACUCGUACUGCCGAAUGUUCCUCCAGAGAGGGGCCGAUACGAACUUGGGGCGCUUGGAAGAUGGACAGACGCCCUUACACUUGUCUGCUCUUAGAGAUGAUGUGCUUUGUGCACAAAUGUUGUAUAAUUACGGAGCAGACACUAACACGAGGAACUAUGAAGGACAGACCCCACUGGCUGUUUCAAUAAGUAUUUCUGGAAGUAGCCGACCCUGUCUGGAUUUCUUACAAGAAGUGACAAGACAGCCCAGAAACUUGCAAGAUCUAUGCCGAAUUAAAAUCCGUCAGUGUAUAGGCCUUCAAAACCUCAAACUACUUGAUGAACUACCCAUUGCCAAGGUCAUGAAAGACUACUUAAAACACAAAUUUGAUGAUAUCUGAUAUCCAUGAAGAGAGGAACUCUGAGCAAGUUUAGUUCUAUUCCAGAUACUGAAGAGGCUUGUUGCCUUGCAUAAAGUAUAUCCUAUGCAAAUUCUGAUUUUUCUGUGAAGUCAGAAGGCAGGUAUACACUUCCUGGGGUUUUUUAUACCACAAGCUAGAAGGUCUUAAUUUUUGGUUUCUUGGUCCAAGUUUACAAGGUCCAAGCUUUCUAUACAAUACUGCAUUUUAAAAAUUGCUGUUGGUUUUUUUUGUUUGUUUUCACAUUUUGUGUGCAGACUUGCAGUGGAGAUGGAAGGCAGCCCCUCGAGGGAAGUGGUUGGUUUGAGUUGGCAUGCUGAGCAAUGAUGCAAGAACAUAAAAAUUUUGGAAAUCAAGGCACCGGUCCUGCAAAAGGAUACAGAUAGACCUCCAGAGCCCUGUUUUUUAGGACCCCUGUCUCUGCCAGGUGUUUGUUUGUUUUUGCAGGACAGAGGGAAGAGUGGAGAAUCAAUGUGUCCUUGGGUGCUGUAUGAAUAUAAGCUGGAAAUUGAGGAAAAAAAAUGCAGUUACCCUGUUCAAUUUGAGGAUCUAUACAUUGGCAGUCUUUUCAAUUAUUUUUAUUUUUGAUCUCUGGUAUUUUUCUUUUCCUAAUUACUGUAGUUGGGAUUGCCCAGAAAAUUCAGGCCCUCUUUCCCAGCAUUCCCUGUUGAAUGGGCUGUUUGUGAGUCUGUUUUUACCAGUGACAGUACACUACAGAGAGGCAUGGCCUCUGUAUUUUCUACAUUAACUUAAGAGGAAACAAAAUCAAAUUUUUUUUGACGCCAGCGUAUUCUGUUGCUCAUACAGUGCCUCCUGUGCAAUAAUCUCUCUGAUGUAUUUUCCCUUGAUGUGUGAUUCCCCCACUAUUCCUCAUUUAGGCUCAGUGCAUUAUUUGUGAGAGCAGGAGCUGCUGCCUCACUGUAGUGUUGAUGGGACAUUACAGAAAUGAUGCAGCAGUUGCUGUUCACAAUUAUUCCCUGAAUUUCGUGAAUGUAUAACCUGCUUUAUUUCACUUUCAGUUGAGAUUUUAUCUACGGGUUCUCAAGCCAAACUGUGUCCUCUUUAAAACAAAACAAAAAAGGAAAUUGGCCAAACCAUUUUGUUUUAAGAGCAGUGCAGGGGCCGGGGGUUGUUUUGAUUGCUCUGAGUUCAGUUUGUUUCAGGUUAGAGAGCUGGAAGUGCACAUUAAGUUAUUAGCUAAUAAGAAGAAAAGCCCCACUGUUAUUGAACGUUCAAAUUUUGCAAUUAAUCUGAAAGCAGAAACUGAGAGGAGUGCUGAACUCUGGCUCCUGAAUGUGUCUCUCAAACCACGUAUCGAAAGAUCCGUUGCAGAGUUUUGUUUCUGAUAGGAAAAAAUUAAUUUCUUGAUCAAAAGAUUGGGCCAAAGUGUGCAGUUGUUUCCCUCCCUUUAUUUUCAAGGCAUUACAGACUCGGCAUAAGGUUCUUACUGAUGUGCUCUACUUUCAUUUUGGCAUCUGGCUCCAAAAGGGCCCCUCUGAUAGUAGGAGUGCUUUCGUACCAAUUGCACCAACUGGAGCGGGAGAUGGAAGGAACGAUGAUGGCUUUUAAGUUUCACACUGUCACUUUCAAAAUAGUUAGUAUUAAAAAUAGGAAAAGCAAGGUUAAGGCAGGUAAACUCCUAUUAUUUAACUCUGCUAGUUCCUUUUAAUAUUUGACAACCCUGGACUGCAGCUCCCUGAGAAUGAACCUGAUCACUGCUAAGGGAUGCAAGGACAAUUCUCUGUCCGUGUUGUGCCUGGUAUUGCAUCAGGUUUCCAGACAGUAGGGGAAUUUGGAGAUUCAUGGCUCAGAGGCUUGGGAAUGGGGUGUUGAACCUUUUUUUCUCCAGCUUGUACCAGUUCAAGUCCAGCCGCUGGAGCAGUGACCAGAAGUUCACGUCUCAGCAGUGGGAGUGAGCAAGUCCAGCCUAACACUGGGUUGUAGAGCUUGUAGUGCUUCCUCCUGGUUGUAUCUGUGGAGUAGGGACAAGCGGUGGGGUGCGAGCAGGAGCUCGAGUGCGUGGCUCGAGUCUCUUGGCCCCUGUGCAGGGAAGAUCAGCCAUUCCAAUCCCUGAGCUCUCCAGUGCUGAGGCAGGGCAGACUGGCAGGUUUGAACACAAAUCUUCCGAUUUCUGACACGAAAUCAGGAUCUCUUAAAACUGUUUUCUUUAAAAAAAAAAGAGAAUACAAAACAGACUUAGUAUUGUUCACUACACUUGUAAGUUGGUCUAAACCAAUGUCUCCUUCCCCACUGAAUUUUUACAGUAAUAUUUUCUAAGGUAAUCUAGAGUAUAUUUUAGUUGCAAUUCUAUAUUAAGGCAAAUUAUUUGUUGUGUCUGUUGCUGUGACUGAAGAAAAUUAUGAAAGACUUUGUUGGUAACAAGAAUGCUAUUUAAUGAAGAAAUGUGUAAUUCCAUUAUUUAUUGUUUGAGGUUUGUUUUUUGGUUAUUUCUUUUAAGUAACUGACAUCUGAAAGGGAACACACAUAUGUUUCAGGCCAGUAAAAAGCCUUUCUUUUAAAUUAAUUUUCAUCUUCUCCUCUCCCCAGGGCGGAGGGAAUCCCUCACCCUUUUUUUGCAAUGCUAAGCCAUCUCUUGUAGCUGGUUUCUCACCUUAAUUCUUGCAAAGCACCACAGCACCCGUGGCUCUGAACCUACUGAUAGUCCUGUGCACUAUCUCUGGUUGUCCAUGUGCUAAAGUGCAGAUAAAGUAGGAUUAUUCAUUGAUAAUCCUACCCAAAUUUCAAUAAGGGGGAAUUUGGUCUUUUUAUUAUUAUUAUUUUCAAUAUUGUGCACAAAUACUUUGAAGAACAAACUGACCUUUGUUUUUCAUUUGGACUAGAAUGUGGAAGGAGAAAUACAUAAUAGAGACUUGUGAUGUAGCCUCGUUCCGUUACCUUAAAAUUCACGGUUGAACACUUUUAAUAAACCUUAAAAAAUUGGCAAACACACCAAAGAAUCAAUAUGAGUAAAAGACUCUGAUCAUUAACAAACUGCAAACCUCAUCCUUUAAAACAAAGCAGAAAGUUUUUGUAAAUAUUUAUGUUUAUAAAUGUACAGCAGAGUAAGAGUGUUUUUUAGAUUAUUUAAUUACCAUAUUUCUAAGCUAUUUACAUUAUAGACAAUACUUGUUAGUUUGAAAAGCUUGAGUGGGUUGUUUUGUUUUGGGGUUUUUUCUUUCUUUUUUUCUUUUUUUUUUUUUUUUUUUUAAAUUCACUAUCACUCAUGCUUGGGAUAACUCUGGCUUCCUUGGAAUAGCGUGGAAAAUUUGGUUUUCCGGCUCUGGUUGGCAAUCAUAGGAGAAACAUCUGGACAAACUCUUCAGAUAAAUACCCAGAGGCAAAAGAAAAGAUGUGACGUCUUGACCAGGAUGGGCUGGUUUGGAGGAAAAAAACUGCCCACAAGUGCAACUUCCAUGCUGUGUUACCAAUACCAUCAUGUAUUUUGUUCUUCCUUUGCAAUGGUACGUGAUUCUGUAAUGGGACUCCAAAUGCCCCCACAAGCAGGAGUUCAGAUGUCUCAUGGGUUGUAAUGUGAUUUUUUUUAACAGAAAAUAUGGACAAAACCCUCAUGGAAUAGUUUGGGGUGGAAGAGACCUUAAAGCUCAUCCUGCCACGGUUGAGACACCUUCCACUGUCCCAGGCAGCUCCAAGCCCUGUCCAGCCUGGCCUUGGACACUUCCAGGGAUCCAGGGGCAGCCGCAGCUUCUCUGGGCACCUGUGCCAGGGACUCCCCACCCUCAGAGUAAAACAAAACUCACUCUAGAGCUGGGCUUUGGAAAGGGAAACAAACUGGUCCUAAACUGGGAGUGGUUGGGUUUUCCCUCCUCAGAUUCCCGCACAGCCACUUUGGGGUUUGCUGACAGGUUCACCUUUCCUCCUCAAGCCUCGUGCACGCAUUAAGAUACAAAAAUUACCAAACAAGAGGCUGCGAUUUAGGGUCUAUUUACUACUAAUAGAAAAGGGGGGAGGUGUAUAUGGAUGUCCCUGAUCCACAAAUAGAAACUGGAACAUUUGGGUUCAGUCAUGAGAAAAAUGUACGACCAAAAGUUGCAGUAAUGUUUUGGACUCUUAAAAAUUUGGAGAGGAAGGAGACUGGGUUUCAAGACAUUAUUGCUAAAGGGUAGCGGGGGGAAAAAAUGCUGUUUUCAUGGCUCAGUAGCAAACUGCACAAACAUCACUGGGACAACAUUCACUGUUCAACCAGCAGUUGUGUUUAGAGCUGCUGCUGCUGGUUUCUAGCAGACUGGCCAGGCUUUGGCUGGACUUUACUGAAUGCUGUGCUAAAGACUUUGUUCCUGUUUAUGUAUCGUAUUUCCUGUAUGAGUGUUCACUUGUGAAGUUUAAAACAAUUAAUGGCUAAUGUUACUACUUGGGAAAACCUGAUUUACAAGCUGUUGACAAAUGAUGUGUUUGGAAUAUACAGUCUUUAUAUAUAUUGGUAGAAGUGGGUGAUAGAGAAGCGUACUUGUUUUAUAUGGCAAAA